rnacentral:rRNA from 1 species
CCUACGGGCGGCAGCAGUGAGGAAUAUUGGUCAAUGGACGAGAGUCUGAACCAGCCAAGUAGCGUGAAGGAUGACUGCCCUAUGGGUUGUAAACUUCUUUUAUAAAGGAAUAAAACGAGGCACGUGUGCCUUUUUGCAUGUACUUUAUGAAUAAGGAUCGGCUAACUCCGUGCCAGCAGCCGCGGUAAUACGGAGGAUCCGAGCGUUAUCCGGAUUUAUUGGGUUUAAAGGGAGCGUAGAUGGGUUGUUAAGUCAGUUGUGAAAGUUUGCGGCUCAACCGUAAAAUUGCAAUUGAUACUGGCAGUCGUGAGUACAGUUGAGGUAGGCGGAAUGCGUGGUGUAGCGGUGAAAUGCUUAGAUAUCACGAAGAACCCCGAUUGCGAAGGCAGCUUACUAAACUGUGACUGACAUUGAUGCUCGAAAGUGUGGGUAUCAAACAGGAUUAGAUACCCCUGUAGUC